GUUUAUACUCUAUAUAGAACUUCUUCAAACAAUCCAAGGUUUUAAUGCAGCUUAACCAUGCUGAUGGAAGCAAUUCUGUAGUUUGCACCUGCAGUUUUCAAGACAGGAGACUGUGUAGUGCAAGUCUAGGGAUACUUCGUCUCAGAAGUAGGUCUCACUGUUUUCAAUGGCACUUACUCUCUAGUAAGUAUAUUUGGUAUUUCAGUCUUAGGGCAGAAGCUAGAAUCAUUCAAAUUAUGUUGUCGUUGGCUUCAAUGGAAAAUAGACGAACCUCUUUCUUAGUUGUGCUUUGUCUCUUUUCCCGAUGAGAAAAAAUACAAUUGCUAUUCUUCUGGCUUGUCUCUUUCUCUUUAUUAGCAUUUUCUAUGCUUCUCUCUAUGUAUCCCUUAUCAAGGGUGCAUUUGGAUGGUAGUUUAUUCCAUCCCCCCAACAUUUCAUUGUCCAUUUCAGUAUUACAUUUGAGCUUUCACAUGACAUAAAAGCCACUUCUGGAAAUACAGGGGAAUCUAGUGGAAGUUCUGUUAUAAUUUCUGUGUUCAUUUGUUCCAGAAACAAUCCAUUUGCAACCCUAUAAGCGCAGGAAAUCUUGGGAGCAAAUGAGAAAAUUUGGGAUGUUCUACCAGCAUACAGUUCUUUCCUGCCAAUUUCCAUGGAGAACAGAAGCACACAUGUGUGAAAAGGUUGGGGGAAUAGCGACAUGGAUGUUUGGUGUUGUGCAACCCCACACCCACUGGUAUGAGUGAAAUUUAAUGUGGCAUGCUAUUGGUCAAAAAGGCACAGUUCUGCAACAGGUACUGCACUCCUACAGGAACAUUAGAAGAUUAGAAAAUGAGACAGAAGAGCUAGCAUUAUAAUCAGGAAAACCAAGGCAAAAAUUCCCUGCAUCUGAAUGCACCCUAAGUCUGCAUGCUCUUUAAGGAAAGGAGUGCUUAUUCUAACUCUCUGGCUGUCAACUUCAUGCCACAUUCUUUGGAAUAAUUCCUGAUAUCCCCUUUCUAAUCAUAGUUAGAAAAAGAAGCCCUUGAAAUAUUACAUGCAGUAAUAUUUGUUGUGCUGCUUCCUCUGCAGCCAUAAGUGCCAUAAUCUGCUUGAGAAGACCUUUUGUUUCUCUCUCUCUCUCUCUCUCUC